GAGGAGGUUGAAUAUGAAGAUGAUGAAGAGGAAGAUGAACACAUAGAAACCGAUGAUGAUAGUGAAGAUUAUUAUAGUGAUAAUUAAGUGAUAUGGCUGAUGUUAUUGCUCAAUCUCACGGGGGUGAUGGUGGAGGAUGCGAUCCUCCACGUGGACCGGCAGAUAUCCCAGCUGAUUGUGAACGAGCGCCUCCAAGUAAACGUGGACGCCAUAAGGGAUUGAACACGCGGGAAAAGAGGGAAUAGUUGGGGCGUCCUCUCCCUCUCGAGUGGGAUGUGCGGGGGAGAACAUAUAAAGAGAUCGGAGAGUACAACUCAAAUUUCUCAAGAGAGCUCGGAUUACUUGUUCGACAGUACACAGAUCCGGACUGUCCUCAAUGGUCAAAAGUACCAAAUGCCUCGAAAGAAAGAAUACUUGCACAUUUGGAAGAUGAUUUGUUUGAUAUUGGGCGUACUAGAUAUGGAGAAUGGCAUAUGCCUGGGAUCUUGAGAGGCAUUGAUACUUCGUGUGCUAAAAAGUAUUCUGACUGGAAGUAUGAUAUUAAAGAGCACUUAACGAUUAAUGGGCCACAAAAUCGUUAUGGUGGUUGCACGGAUACGCAGUGGCAAAAAGCAAUUGAUUUUUUCCGUCGCCCAGAAAUUACGGUAUUAAUUUCUUGCUAAACUUAACUAUCUUAAUUAAAUAUAUUACUAACGAUAACUUUUUGCAGAAACGUUCUGUGGUCAACAAGGAAAAUAGAAAGAAACUGAAAGAGCUUAGCUAUGGA